CCCACCAUGCUCACAGGGUGUCAUCUGGACAGUAACCAAAGAGGUAAAGACAGUAUCACAGGAACAGAUAAACUUAUUAAAGGAAGCUGUUGAUGAUGGUUAUGAGGAAAAUGCAAGGCCACUGCAACCACUGAAUGGAAGGACAGUAUAUCUCAAUCAACCAUAGGAACGUUGUUGCCGGUGCUGUUUAGGAAGUAUAUGUAUUGAGGGAGCUGAGUGAUUGCCCACCAUUAAACUGAAUAUACAAAUCAUUUUCAAACAUAAUAAUUUCAAUACAUUAUGUUUAAUAAUUAUAUAUUUGUAUAUGAUUCAUGAUAAUGUAAUUAAAUUUUUGGUCAA